rnacentral:misc_RNA from 1 species
GAAAUGCGAUAAGUAAUGUGAAUUGCAGAAUUCAGUGAAUCAUCGAAUCUUUGAACGCACCUUGCGCUCCUUGGUAUUCCUUGGAGCAUGCCUGUUUGAGUAUCAUGAAAUCUUCAAAGUAAAUCUUUUGUUAACUCAAUUGGUUUCUACUUUGGUAUUGGAGGUCUUUGCAGCUUCACACCUGCUCCUCUUUGUUCAUUAGCUGGAUCUCAGUGUUAGGCUUGGUUCCACGCGGCGUGAUAAGUUAUCUAUCGCUGAGGACACUGUAAAAGGUGGCCAAGGUAAAUGCAGAUGAACCGCUUCUAAUAGUCCAUUGACUUGGACAAUACUUUUAUGAUCUGAUCUCAAAUCAGGUAGGACUACCCGCUGAACUUAAGC